rnacentral:rRNA from 1 species
GAUGAACGCUGGCGGCGUGCCUAACACAUGCAAGUCGAACGGACAAAGAGGAGCUUGCUCCUCUGCGUUAGUGGCGGACGGGUGAGUAACGCGUGAGCAACCUGCCUUUCAGAGGGGGAUAACAUCGGGAAACCGGUGCUAAUACCGCAUGAUGUGCGAGAACCGCAUGAUUCUUGUACCAAAGGAGCAAUCCGCUGAAAGAUGGGCUCGCGUCUGAUUAGAUAGUUGGUGAGGUAACGGCCCACCAAGUCGACGAUCAGUAGCCGGACUGAGAGGUUGAACGGCCACAUUGGGACUGAGACACGGCCCAGACUCCUACGGGAGGCAGCAGUGGGGAAUAUUGCACAAUGGGGGAAACCCUGAUGCAGCAACGCCGCGUGAGGGAAGACGGUUUUCGGAUUGUAAACCUUUGUCUUUGGUGAAGAAGAAGUGACGGUAGCCAAGGAGGAAGCCACGGCUAACUACGUG